rnacentral:rRNA from 1 species
GACGAACGCUGGCGGCGUGCCUAAUACAUGCAAGUCGAGCGCAGGAAACUGACGGAACUCUUCGGAGGGAAGGCAGUGGAAUGAGCGGCGGACGGGUGAGUAACACGUAAGGAACCUGCCUCAAGGAUUGGGAUAACUCCGAGAAGUCGGAGCUAAUACCGGAUAGUUCAACGGGCCGCAUGGUCCGCUGAUGAAAGGCGCUCCGGCGUCACCUUGAGAUGGCCUUGCGGUGCAUUAGCUAGUUGGUGGGGUAACGGCCCACCAAGGCGACGGUGCAUGGCGACCGUGAGAGGGUGAUCGGCCAGACUGGGACUGAGACACGGCCCAAACUCCUACGGGAGGCAGCAGUAGGGAAUCUUCCACAAUGGACGAAAGUCUGAUGGAGCAACGCCGCGUGAGUGAUGAAGGUUUUCGGAUCGUAAAACUCUGUUGUAAGGAAAGAACACGUACGAGAGGAAAUGCUCGUACCUUGACGGUACCUUACGAGAAAGCCACGGCUAACUACGUGCCAGCAGCCGCCGUAAGAC